GCCCCACUUUAAUGUGCCAUAUGAAUGGAUAAGGAUGAUUGGUUGGCCAUUCAAAUUCAAAAUAAAGUUUGAAUUUGAAUGGGCAAUCAAUCUUUGCACCUUAUCCCUUUUUUUUACGCCCCAUUUAUUACAUGAGAAAAGAUUUCUCAUGAAAUCACUCCAUACACAAUUUAAACCAUGCCUCACGCCUUUAGUGGAUAAGGGAUGAGUUGGUGUCCAUUUGAAUUCAAAAUUUGAUUUGAAUUCAAAUAUGCAAUUACUCAUCUUUAUCCUUUCUUUUGGAUAAGACGUUUGACGUUGUUAUAAAAGGAGGAGAAGAGUGGGGUAUGCAAGAAGAAGAUUUUUGAAAAAAAAUUCUGGGGCGUGAGAAGUCUUGUGCGUGAGAAGGAAGUCCAUAUCCUUCCAAGAGAAAAAGAAGGAAAAGAAAGAAAAGUGGGUGCAAGGUUUCCGAUGAGUUCCCUAGAGUUUUAGCCUGAGGUUCGGAAAGUGAGAAAGUGAGCUACGAGUGUCGUGAGCCCACAAAAUCUCAGGGAGAUCUUCAACAUCCUCUCAAGCACGUCUGUUGACGAUCCAAAGCAUCCAAAAAAUCG
rnacentral:lncRNA from 1 species